AUUAUAAUUAGUGAUAGACAGUUCCCUUAAAGAGGGCGAAUAACUUUAAUGAGUCAAUUUCUAAAACUAAUAGUGUCUAAUGAUAUUUAAUAAAACGGAUCAGUAACAAAUCCAAUGAUCGGUCCACAAAACUAAACAGACUGUAGUCCUAUCAGUCCAGUCCUAAUAACAUCCUCUAAGACCGGGGGUAUCCUGUAUAAGUUUACGCGUACGUCAUACUUUCUUUAUCUAUCUCGAAAUUGGAGACAGCGACAGAGGAUAGUUGAAAUUCAAUUCUUACAAGCUUUUAAUAAUAUGGAAAUAACAGGUUCAAAAAGGGGAUCAAUACCCACCGUCACCGCUUCCCUACGCAUUAUGGAACCCUUUUCAAUAUCCUAUAAUACACCCCAGCUCAUGUGUUGUGCAAGGGAACGCUGAUCGAAAAAGUGGAUCGUUAUUCGCAUUAAUCUUUGCAUAACACUUUGGUGUUGGUAUAUGACCGUCAUGCUGCUCCUCUGCAGCCAGAGAUUCAGCUGUUUUUUAAUACUAAAAUGUAAGCCAAAAAAGUGAGCAAUUUGAAUGAACAUGAUAAAAAUUGGGCAUAUCAGGAUGACUACAGCAACAACAUUUUAUAUUAUGGCAUUUGCUAUUAAAGAAGUAUCCCUAUUUUGAAGAUGAACUUAUUUGUUUGGAGUCUGUGCAAUAGCAUCACCUAAACCCUUGUUCAUUUCCAUCCGACAGGAUUGAUGUGGUCAGUCGCUUUAUAACUUUCUUCUCACUGGAACUUCAUCAACACUUAGGAAUGACUCCUUGCAAGGCUCAGACUGUUUUCUUACAUUGAGCUAUUUUAAUACAUCAUUUUUUGUCCCGUAUACAAUAUAAAUUUGUAUAAAAAUGUACUAGACAUUUUAAUUUUAAUAUAAUGGACUCCAUUGCAACUAAAAGCGUUUUAAUGGGCCUUAGAACCUAUCAAGUUAAAUUUCUUGAAAAAUGUCUAAAAUAUAGAUAUAUAUAUAGAUAUAUUCAAUACAAAUUUAUUUCAAUUUUAGACCAAAUGUAAAAAUAGGCCAAAUCUAAUUCUUCAAAUAUCUCAGAAGAUAUAUGAUAUCGUCAAAUAUUUUUCAAUGUUUGUACGUAUUAUGUGGGUUCUACGUGUUUUGAUGACAUUACGACAAUUUUCCUAAAAAAAUACUACUGCAUUUUGCAAACUGCCCAAUUUUCCACAUUGCCCGUUUACAAGUUUUGUAAUAUAUAUUGAAUUUGAAAAGUAAAAUAUUCAAAAUCCGUUAAAUUUUAGUUCCUUGUGAAUCAUUCAUCAAUCUGUGAUAUAUUUUUUUUAAAUACAUUCUUAUCCUUU
rnacentral:lncRNA from 1 species